rnacentral:rRNA from 1 species
UACAGAGGUCCCGAGCGUUGUUCGGAUUCAUUGGGCGUAAAGGGCUCGUAGGCGGCCAACUAAGUCAGACGUGAAAUCCCUCGGCUUAACCGGGGAACUGCGUCUGAUACUGGAUGGCUUGAGUUUGGGAGAGGGAUGCGGAAUUCCAGGUGUAGCGGUGAAAUGCGUAGAUAUCUGGAGGAACACCGGUGGCGAAGGCGGCAUCCUGGACCAACACUGACGCUGAGUGAGCGAAAGCCAGGGGAGCAAACGGG